GAUGAACGCUGGCGGCGUGCCUAAUACAUGCAAGUCGAGCGACCGGACGAUAAGCUUGCUUCUCUGAUGUUAGCGGCGGACGGGUGAGUAACACGUGGAUAACCUACCUAUAUGACUGGGAUAACUUCGUGAAACCGGAGCUAAUACCAGAUCAUAUGUUGAACCGCAUGGUGCAAAAGUGAAAGACGGUCUUGCUGUCACUUAUAGAUGGAUCCGCGCUGCAUUACGUAGUUGGUAAGGUAACGGCUUACCAAGGCAACGACGCAUAGCCGACCUGAGAGAGUGACAGGCCACACUGAACCUGAGCCACGGCCCAGCUCCCUACGGGGGGCAGCAGGAGGAAAACUGCAGCAAUGGGCGAAAGCCUGACGGAGCAACGCCGCGUGAGUGAUGAAGGUCUUCGGUUCGAAAAACUCUGUUAUUAGGGAAGAAAAUAUGUGUAAGUAACCGUGCAGAUCUGGACGGUACCUAAUCAGAAGGCCCCGGCUACCUCCGU
rnacentral:rRNA from 1 species